GACGGAGGGGGCCAGCGUUGUCCGGAGUUACUGGGCGUAAAGCGCACGCAGGCGGAGCCGCAAGUCGCGUGUGAAAGCCCGCGGCUCAACCGCGAGACGGCAUGGCAAACUGCGGGGCUGGAGUCCCGGAGAGGCGCCUCGAAUUGCCGGUGUAGUGGUGAAAUGCGUAGAUAUUGGGAAGAAGACCAGUGGGGAAGGCGGGGGGCUGGCCGGGUGCUGACGCUGAGGUGAGACGGCGUGGGGAGCAAACCGG
rnacentral:rRNA from 1 species